UUCGCCCUUAGAGUUUGAUCCUGGCUCAGGACGAACGCUGGCGGCGUGCUUAACACAUGCAAGUCGAACGAAUGAACUUCAGUGGACUUCUUCGGAAAGAAACAGAAAUGAUUUAGUGGCGAACGGGUGAGUAACACGUGAGAAACCUGCCUAUCACAAGGGGAUAGCCUCCGGAAACGGUGAUUAAUACCCUAUGACAUCACAAUAUCGCAUGGUAUAGUGAUCAAAGAUUUAUCGGUGAUAGAUGGUCUUGCGGCUGAUUAGCUAGUUGGUAAGGUAACUGCUUACCAAGGCAACGAUCAGUAUCCGGCUUGAGAGGGUGAACGGACACACUGGAACUGAGACACGGUCCAGACUCCUACGGGAGGCAGCAGUGGGGAAUUUUGCACAAUGGGGGAAACCCUGAUGCAGCGACGUCGCGUGAACGAUGAAGGCCUUCGGGUUGUAAAGUUCUGUCCUAAGCGAAGAUAAUGACAGUAGCUUAGAAGAAAGCUCCGGCUAAAUACGUGCCAGCAGCCGCGGUAAUACGUAUGGAGCGAGCGUUGUCCGGAAUUAUUGGGCGUAAAGGGUACGUAGGCGGUUAUGUGGGUCUGUAUUAAAAGGCAUUGGCUCAACCAAUGUUCGGUAUGGAAACUGCAUAACUUGAGUAGAUGAGGGGUAUGUGGAAUUCCUAGUGUAGCGGUGAAAUGCUUAGAUAUUAGGAGGAAUACCAGUGGCGAAGGCGACUUACUGGAAUCUAACUGACGCUGAGGUACGAAAGCGUGGGGAGCAAACAGGAUUAGAUACCCUGGUAGUCCACGCAGUAAACGAUGAGUGCUAGGUGUCGGGAGUCAAAUCUCGGGGCCGCCGCUAACGCAUUAAGGCACUCCGCCUGGGGAGUACGUACGCAAGUAUGAAACUCAAAGGAAUUGACGGGGACCCGCACAAGCAGCGGAGCAUGUGGUUUAAUUCGACGCAACGCGAAGAACCUUACCAGGGCUUGACAUAUACAGGAAUAUGCUAGAGAUAGCAUAGUCCCUUCGGGGACUUGUAUACAGGUGGUGCAUGGUUGUCGUCAGCUCGUGUCUUGAGAUGUUGGGUUGAGUCCCGUAACGAGCGCAACCCCUAUCUUUAGUUACCAACAGUACGGCUGGGAACUCUAGAGAGACUGCCGGUGAUAAACCGGAGGAAGGUGGGGAUGACGUCAAAUCAUCGUGCCCUUUAUGUCCUGGGCUACACACGUGCUACAAUGGCCUGAACAAAGCGCAGCUAACCCGUGAGGGUGUGCGAAUCGCAUAAAACAGAUCUCAGUUCGGAUUGUAGGCUGCAACUCGCCUACAUGAAGUCGGAGUUGCUAGUAAUCGUGAAUCAGAAUGUCACGGUGAAUGAAUGGCCGGGUCUUGUACUCACCGCCCGUCA
rnacentral:rRNA from 1 species